rnacentral:tRNA from 1 species
UGGUUAGCACACUGGACUGUCAAUCCAGAGGUCGCGGGUUCAAAUCCCGU